GGAUUGUGGCUCAGUGGUAGAGUGCUCGUUUAGCAUGCAUGAGGCACUGGGUUCAAUCCUCAGCACCA
rnacentral:tRNA from 1 species